AGUGAACGCUGGCGGCGUGCUUAACACAUGCAAGUCGAACGAGAACGGAAUAUAGCUUGCUAUAUUUGUCAGCUAAGUGGCGCACGGGUGAGUAAUGUAUAGUUAACCUGCCCUUAAGAAAGGAAUAUCAGUUGGAAACGACUGCUAAUGCCCUAUAUGCCUUUAAUACACAAGUAUGCUAGGGAAACGCUUUAGUCCUUAAGGAUGGGUCGGUAUUGUAUCAGCUUGUUGGUGAGGUAAUGGCUCAACAAGGCUAUGACGUCAUAACUGGUUUGAGAGGAUGAUCAGUCACACUGGAACUGAGACACGGUCCAGACUCCUACGGGAGGCAGCAGUGGGGAAUAUUGCACAAUGGACGAAAGUCUGAUGCAGCAACGCAGCGUGGAGGAUGACACAUUUCGGUGCGUAAACUCCUUUUAUAUAGGAAGAUAAUGACGGUACUAUAUGAAUAAGCACCGGCUAACUCCGUGCCAGCAGCCGCGGUAA
rnacentral:rRNA from 1 species